UCAGCAGUCUGCAUAGUAUUUCUGUAUGUGAAUAUCUGACGUAGUUAUGCUGCUGAAAAGCUGCAGCCAGGACAAUGCUUGGUAGUCUUUGGAAGUUAGUCUUUUCUAAAUUUGUUUCCCUUUGGUUGGGGAAAGAGCUUGGCUUUUAGCUGAAUGUAGAGGAAGCCUACUGGAAAAGAAAUGCAUAGGACUGCAUCUCAGGAUGGGGGACAUAUGCACAAGACGCUUUCCUGAAGAGAUGUUAAGAUCCAAGAAGAAAGAUGGAAAGUCGAAAGAAUGGCAGUGUACAAUGCAAGCAUGUAGAUUUAUACCUGCUAUUGCCCAGCUGUGACUUGGUUAGCACUAAAAUGUGUCUACAAUGUAGAUAUAAGCUGAACAUAAUUCCCAUGUUAGUAGAUUGUCCACUCUUUUCUGAGCAUAUUUGUUUCCUAUUGUUUCCAUGGAGAUCAAGUACAGUUUAGCUUGCAUUAAGCAAGCAGGAGAAUCUGCCAGCUCUUCAGCAAAGGCCUGAUAAGGUAAUUUCUUCCAUCUCAUGUUGACAGCAAUGGUGCAAGUCAAAUACUGUAAAUGGAAAAGCUUUCUCUUAAACUAUGUUUUCUGGUAGUGACUAUGAUACUAUAUUAACUUGUAUAUUGACUAACCUGGCUUUUAGUGUUUGUAGUCCAAUAUCUGAGGACAGAGCUGCUGUCUCUCUGGGGGUGGGGGGGGAACUAUUCUCUCUGUUUGGCAAGGUGAGAUGCUGUUUAAAAUCUAUAGGCUAAGUGCAAUGAAGCUCCUUGUUUGAGGAAUGUAAUUGGUGCUCUUAGUCACUGUGCUGGGACUUCACUGUUGGCUGCUUUUUCCAUGUCAUAAAAUGAUAGAUUCUGGAGAAGAUAAGGUUAGAAGAGAAAAUGCUGUACAGAUUAGUGUGAAGAUCACCAAACAGAUCACUGACCGCAUGAGUGUCAUUAUAGAGACAGGAAUAAGACAGGUAGCAAUGGAUGGAAACGAAGAAGUCCUAGAUAAACAUGAAAAGCUGGUAGAGUACUCUUUUCUAGAUAAAAAAAGAUGAUGAUUUAGGCAAGUAUAUAAUACGCUAGCUUUUGGCUUACUUGUCUACCUCAUAGGUAGUGCUGACACUCGUUCAAACUCUUUGUUCUUUUGGCAUCCAUCAACCUACAUGCAUCCAUAAAGUGGGCUGGUUCUGCAAUGUUUUCAGUUUGACAGAGGGAUGUCUUAAUGGAGGGAAAUAUAGUAUUGAUCUCAUUCAUUGUCAUAAUGAUAGGCAGAUAGUAAGAGGGGUGACUGUGUGUGAUUUCAAGUAGUCACAUCAGUAGAAAUGAGUCUGUAAGAGGGAAACCAGCUUGGCUGUGAAAAGUAAUUGCUAUCAUAAGACUAAAGAGAAGUGACCCUGGAUAUAUGUUUCAAAUUUGUCUUUAGUAAAGUAUUUGUAUAAUGAUAGACAGAUAAUAUUGUACA